rnacentral:rRNA from 1 species
CCUACGGGCGACAGCAGUAGGGAAUAUUGCUCAAUGGGGGAAACCCUGAAGCAGCAACGCCGCGUGGAGGAUGAAGGUUUUCGGAUUGUAAACUCCUUUUGUUAGAGAAGAUAAUGACGUUAUCUAACGAAUAAGCACCGGCUAACUCCUUGCCAGCAGCCGCGGUAAUACGGAGGGUGCAAGCGUUACUCGGAAUCACUGGGCGUAAAGCGCGCGGAGGCGGGAUAGCAAGUCAGAUGUGAAAUCCUAUGGCUUAACCAUAGAACUGCAUUUGAAACUGUGAUUCUAGAGUAUGGGAGAGGUAGAUGGAAUUCUUGGUGUAGGGGUAAAAUCCGUAGAGAUCAAGAGGAAUACACAUUGCGAAGGCGACCUGCUAGAACAUAACUGACGCUGAGGCGCGAAAGCGUGGGGAGCAAACAGGAUUAGAUACCCGUGUAGUC